rnacentral:lncRNA from 1 species
CUCUGCUCCGAGUGGCAGGAAGGGGCACGCAGGCGCCCCGCGCGUCUGGUCACUAUUGUUUAAUCGGGAAUCUGCAACGCCUCCCUUCGGUUUCCACCCUACGCCGGAAUGGACUUUCAGAACCCACUGCGGCCGCAAGAGAGCCCGCAAGAGCCGGUCAAAAUGCCCUCAGACGAAAAUACGAGUUCUCCGAUCGCGUUGGACCGGAGCGGGCCAGGUCCGAGCUGCUUGCAGAGGGAAACCAUCGGAAAUAAUGAAUAGCCGCUCCAUGCAAAUUAUUCAGACAGUUUAGCGUCGGUAGCCGCGAGAAAUAUAUAAAGAACACGAGUCAAAUGACAUU